GAUGAAGAACGUAGCGAAAUGCGAUACUUGGUGUGAAUUGCAGAAUCCCGUGAACCAUCGAGUCUCUGAACGCAAGUUGCGCCUCAAGCCAUUAGGUUGAGGGCACGUCUGCCUGGGCGUCACAUAUCGUUGCCUGAUGCCAGUUUCCUCGUGAUGGGUGACUGUGCAGGGCGAAUGAUGGCUUCCCGUGAGCAUUGUUGCCUCAUGGUUGGUUGAAAAUUGAGUCCUUGGUAGGGAGCGCCGUGAUAGAUGGUGGUUGAGUGACGAACGAGACCCAAUCAUGUGAGACCCCUACCGAAUUUGGCCUUCAUGACCCACAUGCGUCUUUGGAACGCUCAUGACGAGACCUCAGGUCAGGCGGGGCUACCCGCUGAGUUUAAGCAUAUCAAUAAGCGGAGGA
rnacentral:misc_RNA from 1 species